UAGAAAAUUGAAUGAACUCCGGCAAAGAAAGAAAAGGGGGGAAGAAGGAGAGUGCCGGGCUACGGAUAACUCUACCGCCGGUGCUCGACGGUUGUUGUCGGUGUUAAGAAGGAAUCCGCCGCGAAACUUCAUGAUUCCAGGGAAUUGCAGUUGUUGCACUACUGAGACACUUUGGAUGGUUUUGCUGGUAAAAGUGUGCCUCUAAUCUGUUUUGUGGCAUACUGAUCUGGGUUUGCCCUUGUUCUGUGAAUCUGCUAGUUUGCCUCAGAUUUGAAAGCGUUGAAUUCAUUGUCGUUGGUGUUGGUGGUGCUAUAUUCUAAUUCCAGCAGGGUUGCGUGUUUAUAGCCGAUGCGGUAAUCCCAGUUUGCGGCAGCUUGGCCUCAAACUGUAGGACGUUGGCUAUCCUCAAUUUGAUCAAGGACCUGAUACAAAAGGGCUCGCAAAAGAAUAUAGCAAAUCAGAAAUGGUCCAAGAAAUGAAGUAAACAUUUUAUCAAAUGGUAAAGAAGUGGUUUAAGCAAUGAAGAAUAAGAAUUACCUCCAUCUUGGAUAUGGCUGAAUUAUUCAGCAUAUAGCAAAUGUUGGUGGCAAACUGGCAAUGGUAUUCUUUGUGAACUUUCUAUUUUUCCUACAACAAACUGGUUGUAAAAGCCACAAAAAUACGGUACUCAAGUACAUAAGCACGGAGUAUUGUGACUGUAAAAAAAAAAAAAAGAGAAAGUAAUUCAGUAUACUCCGUAUUCAACAAUAAAGAGCUUCAGGAAGCUAAGAAGAGUUUGCCUUGUUCUGUGAAGCUGGGAGUUUGCCUCAGAUUUGCAAGCAUUGAUUGAAGGUCACUUUUGAUGUUGCUGGUGUUAAAUUCAAUGUUGUUGGCGUUGCAGAACAGGUUGAAUAAACCAUUUUAUCAGAAAAUAGUUAGCCGCUGUGGCAGUGUUUGUGGAGAUGUGAAGCUCAAAGACUGCAACUGACCUCUGUUUUGAACUGUGUUUAUUUGUUUAAGGGUCACUAUAGGAAGAAUAAGGUUAUUUUAAUUCGAGCGAGAUGGAGCACCCAUUUUGGCAGAGAGCAAGGUUGCACUUUUCAGGCUUAAGAAGGUUAAUGACCAUGGUUUGUUGUCAUAGCGUAAAGUAACAAGUCGAAUCAUCUUUACAAGGUUAGUGCCGUUUGGAGUAGAGCACUGUUGGGAGAAUCACUCGCCUACUGAGGUGUCGUCGAGUAGUACUAAAGAUGGUUAUGGGCGGGGCCAGCCCGAAGCCCGACCCGGUACGAAAAAAGCCCGACCCAGCACGAGAACAAAAAAGCACGGCCCGUCACGGGCACGGGCACGAAGUCGUGGGUCUGGACCUUAUUUUUUAAAAAAAAUGCACGACAAGGCACGACACGACCUCGAUCGGCACGCUAAAUUCAGCAAAAUUAGCCUUAGGCACGGCAGCCCAACCCGGCACGAAAGCCCAUGGGCUUGGGCCGGACCUGAUCCAUGUUUUUGAACCUUUCGGCCCGGUUCGGUCCGGCACGAUGCAAUGUGGACCUGGCAUGGGCCCUCCCCGGCCCACAAUCAUCUUUAGGUGUCGUCCUAUGUACUUAUGGAGUUAUGGAUAAGGAUCAUUAUUUUAUUUAUUUUUCCAUUUUCUUUAUUGAAUAAUUUAAUUAGAUUUUUCUGUUUUGAGCUUGCAAGUUACAACUGGUUUUUUGUUUAUGCAACGAAGGUCAUUUAUAGAGUGUUUUGAUGGCUUUGAGAA